rnacentral:rRNA from 1 species
AGAGUUUGAUCCUGGCUCAGGAUGAACGCUAGCGGCAGGCUUAAUACAUGCAAGUCGUGGGGCAGCAGUCCCGCAGCAAUGCGGGAGCUGGCGACCGGCAAACGGGUGCGGAACACGUACACAACCUUCCUUUAAGUGGGGGAUAGCCCGGGGAAACCCGGAUUAAUACCCCGUAAUAUUGUGAGAUGGCAUCAUUUUACAAUUAUAGCUCCGGCGCUUAAUGAUGGGUGUGCGGCUGAUUAGGUAGUUGGCGGGGUAACGGCCCACCAAGCCUACGAUCAGUAACUGGUGUGAGAGCACGACCAGUCACACGGGCACUGAGACACGGGCCCGACUCCUACGGGAGGCAGCAGUAAGGAAUAUUGGUCAAUGGACGCAAGUCUGAACCAGCCAUGCCGCGUGGAGGAUGAAGGUCCUCUGGAUUGUAAACUUCUUUUAUAUGGGACGAAAAAGGGUCUUUCUAGAUCAACUGACGGUACCAUAUGAAUAAGCACCGGCUAACUCCGUGCCAGCCGCCGCGGUAAUUC